rnacentral:rRNA from 1 species
GACGAACGCUGGCGGCGUGCUUAACACAUGCAAGUCGAACGGUAAGGCCCUUCGGGGUACACGAGUGGCGAACGGGUGAGUAACACGUGGGUGAUCUGCCCUGCACUUCGGGCUAAGCCUGGGAAACUGGGUCUAAUUCCGGAUAGGACCACUGCCUGCAUGGGGGGUGGUGGAAAGCCUUUGCGGUGUGGGAUGGGCCCGCGGCCUAUCAGCUUGUUGGUGGGGUGAUGGCAUACCAAGGCGACGAGGGGUAGCCGGCCUGAGUGGGUGACCGGCCACACUGGGACUGAGAUACGGCCCAGACUCCUACGGGAGGCAGCAGUGGGGAAUAUUGCACAAUGGGCGCAAGCCUGAUGCAGCGACGCCGCGUGAGGGAUGACGGCCUUCGGGUUGUAAACCUCUUUCAGCACCGACGAAGCGCAAGUGACGGUAGGUGCAGAAGAAGGACCGGCCAACUACGUGCCAGCCGCCGCCGUAAAAC